UGGGGAAUUUUGGACAAUGGGCGAAAGCCUGAUCCAGCAAUGCCGCGUGUGUGAAGAAGGCCUUCGGGUUGUAAAGCACUUUUGUCCGGAAAGAAAUCCUCUGGGUUAAUACCUCGGGGGGAUGACGGUACCGGAAGAAUAAGCACCGGCUAACUACGUGCCAGCAGCCGCGGUAAUACGUAGGGUGCAAGCGUUAAUCGGAAUUACUGGGCGUAAAGCGUGCGCAGGCGGUUUUGUAAGACGGAUGUGAAAUCCCCGGGCUUAACCUGGGAACUGCAUUCGUGACUGCAAGGCUAGAGUAUGGCAGAGGGGGGUUAGAAUUCCACGUGUAGCAGUGAAAUGCGUAGAGAUGUGGAGGAAUACCGAUGGCGAAGGCAGCCCCCUGGGCCAAUACUGACGCUCAUGCACGAAAGCGUGGGGAGCAAACAGGAUUAGAUACCCUGGUAGUCCACGCCCUAAACGAUGUCAACUAGUUGCUGGGGAUUCAUUUCCUUAGUAACGUAGCUAACGCGUGAAGUUGACCGCCUGGGGAGUACGGUCGCAAGAUUAAAACUCAAAGGAAUUG
rnacentral:rRNA from 1 species